rnacentral:rRNA from 1 species
GAUGAACGCUGGCGGCGUGCCUAAUACAUGCAAGUCGAGCGAACAGACGAGGAGCUUGCUCCUCUGACGUUAGCGGCGGACGGGUGAGUAACACGUGUAUACCCUACCUAUAAGACUGGGAUAACUUCGGGAAACCGGCGCUAAUACCGUAUAACAUGUUGAACCGCAUUGUUCAACAGUGAAAGACGGUCUUUCUGUCACUUCUAGAUGGAUCCGCGCCGCAUUAGCUAGUUGGUAAGGUAACGGCCUACCAAGGCAACGAUGCGUAACCGAACUGAGAGAGUGAUAGGCCACACUGGAACGGAGACACGGUCAAGACGCCUAAGGGAGGCAGCAGUAGGGAAUCUGACGCAAUGGGCGAAAGCCUGACGGAGCAACGCCGAGUGAGUGAAGAAGGUGUUCGGAUCGGAAAAAUCUGUUAUUAGGGAAGAACAAAUGUGUAAGUAAAUAUGCACGGAGUGACGGUACUGGAUAAGAAAGCCACGGCUAACUACGUG